CAAACAGACGUAACACCUUGAACGAUUUUCAUGGAAAUCCAUCGCCCAGUUCACACAACUCACCUGGUGGAAAAGUUGCACGAAUCACUGUGUUGUGCAAUAUCGUCAACAGAAAGCGCUAGUGUGAAACGUCAAACGCAUAGAAAAACGAUGCACGUGCCUCUGGUUGUGAAAACCACAACUGUGAAAAUUUAAAAUGAUCGUUAAAAGCGUGGUCGAUGGAAAUUUCGCAAGUGUUACGUCUGUUUGCCUGUGCUAUGUAUUUUGUGGUACCUUGUGGUAUGCACAUAAUAAAUUAUUGUAUUACUCUAUUACGUUUAGCGUGUAUGUUUACAUUGAGUAUCUGUCAUAUGUGGAGAUGUUGUUAUUGUUGUCUAGAGUGUGAAUCAUUGUAUGUAAUAUUGAAGUAUCGGUAAUAAAGUGUAUACAAAUAAUGAAUACAGUUGUUGAAUAAUCAUUACAGAGAAAGAUUCUCACAUUGGCGACGAGAACGGUGAACAGUGCAUGUGAAAUUAGUUUAAUUUCGGUUCGGGAAGUGUUGUCUUUGGAAAAAGAAAGAGAUGAGUGGUGUGUGUGUGGUGCAUGCAGAGUGGUGAUGACCUCCAGGUGAUGACUUGUGAUUGAAUUUCAACAUUGGAAUCAAAAAGGUACAACCACAAGUAACGGCCAAGUAAUUUACCAAAAUGCCGAGCAGAGAUGGAUGACCAAAUGGAUGACUGUACUUCUAAUUUUGAUGUGAGACUGAAGCGAGACGUUUAUAAACUGAGGAGACUAUAAGCGAAACAACGUGGAGUGACCUUGCUGCGGAUCUGGAGAAAAAACGAGAUGUGGUACCUUGUGGUAUGCACAUAAUAAAUUAUUGUAUUACUCUAUUACGUUUAGCGUGUAUGUUUACAUUGAGUAUCUGUCAUAUGUGGAGAUGUUGUUAUUGUUGUCUAGAGUGUGAAUCAUUGUAUGUAAUAUUGAAGUAUCGGUAAUAAAGUGUAUACAAAUAAUGAA